GCAGGCUCCGGGCUCUGAGCUGUCGGCACUGAGCCUGACGCAGGGCUGGAACUCACAAACUGAGAGAUCAUGACCUGAGCCGAAGUUGGAAGCUCAACCGACUGAGCCACCCAGGCGCCCCUUUGGUGUUUCCCUUUAAAGAGUGUUGACGUUUUCUGGCAAGCAUUUAAGCUAUGUUUGUAUAAUCUUGUUCCUUUCAAGGCUUGUUCUCCACACUCAUGAUGGGUGUGGAGUAGGCUUUAGUCUAGAGCUGGUUCAGUCACUUUACUGAGAUGUGACCUGUCUCGGCUCUCUCCUGAAUGCUCUGGUGUCCAACAUGGCUUCUUGGCAGUUAACGACCUCCCUACCUGAGUGAAACCUGAGAAUUGUUCAGCAACUCCCACACCUCCAGGCCCCACCCCCUGACGCCAAGUUGUUCUUUGCCUGGACUUGAUGGCAGUAGGCCAGGUUCGAGGACCCAGGGGAUCCUAUAGGACCAGCCAGGACUCUCCUUGGCUUCAUGAAGGACGCAGGAUGGAAAUCAAACAUGAGUCAACAGGAAGUGAGAGCAGACAUUAUUGAAGAUACAGGGAGACCAGAUACAGACAGAGCAUCUGGGAGACUCAGAAAGGAAAGGACCAUGAGUCUCAUCUUUGUCUGGGGUUUGGGUUUUCUUUUAUUUAAAAAAAAAAAAAAGAUUUUUUGUUGAAUGCUCAGCUGACUGAGCCCCUAUUUUUGUCUCAUUUAAAGUAAUAUUUUUUUUAAUGUUUACUUAUUUCUGAGAGUGGAAGAGAGACAAAGCACGACUGGGGAAGGGGCAGAGAGAGAGGGAGACACAGAAUCUGAAGCAGGCUCCAGCCUCUACACUGACAGCAGAGAGCCUGAUACAGGGCUCAAACUCAUGAACUGUGAGAUCGUGACCCAAGCUGAAGUCAGAUGCUUAACCGACUGAGCCACCUAGGUGCCCUGUUUUAUUUUUAAGUAAACUCUACACCUAACGUGGGGCUCAAACUCACAACCCCAAGAUCAAGAGUCACAUGCUCUAACGACUGAGCCAACCAGGUGCCCCUGGGUCUGGAGUUUUCACUGAGGAUGGUGGUCUGGCGUAGGUGUCCUCUCCGGCAUCCAGGAACUGGUCAGAACAAACACCAGGGCAUAUGGGUUAUUCCUGAGAGCCAGGAGGUCUUGGCCUGGAGGUCUGACUUGGAGGUCUGGCUUGGAGGUCUUGGCAUGGAGGUCUUGGCUUGGAGGUCUUGGCAUGGAGGUCUUGGCAUGGAGAUCUGGCUUGGUGGUCUGGUUUGGUGGUCUUGGCAUGGAGGUCUUGGCAUGGAGGUCUGACUUGGUGGUCUGGCUUGGAGGUCUUGGCAUGGAGGUCUUGGCUUGGAGGUCUUGGCAUGGAGGUC